rnacentral:misc_RNA from 1 species
UUUCCGUAGGUGAACCUGCGGAAGGAUCAUUAGUAAUCGCACUGUCGGGCUUAUAACUAUUCCAAACCUCUGUGAACCGUGCCCUUCGGGGCUAUUAUACAAAAAUGGUGUAAUGAACUUUAUAUAUCAUAACAAAACAACACUUUCAACAACGGAUCUCUUGGCUCUC